rnacentral:rRNA from 1 species
GACGAACGCUGGCGGCGUGCUUAACACAUGCAAGUCGAACGGAAAGGCCCAGCUUGCUGGGUACUCGAGUGGCGAACGGGUGAGUAACACGUGGGUGAUCUGCCCUGAACUUCGGGAUAAGCCUGGGAAACUGGGUCUAAUACCGGAUAUGACCAUUGGUUGCAUGACUUUUGGUGGAAAGCUUUUGCGGUUCAGGAUGGGCCCGCGGCCUAUCAGCUUGUUGGUGAGGUAACGGCUCACCAAGGCGACGACGGGUAGCCGACCUGAGAGGGUGAUCGGCCACACUGGGACUGAGACACGGCCCAGACUCCUACGGGAGGCAGCAGUGGGGAAUAUUGCACAAUGGGCGCAAGCCUGAUGCAGCGACGCCGCGUGGGGGAUGACGGCCUUCGGGUUGUAAACCUCUUUCACCUGUGACGAAGUCUCUGCUUGUUGGUGGGGGUGACGGUAGCGGGAGAAGAAGCACCGGCCAACUACGUGCCAGCAGCCGCAGUAACAC